GUCGAUGUUCGGCGAUGCAUCAACCGUGAGGGUUUCAAUCGUGAAUAUAAUAGGGUUAUCAAUUUGAGGUAGUCAAGGUUUUUAAGAUAGUUGUGUCAAGGAAGUUGACAGAUUUCUCAGAGAAGGAAAAGUCAAAUUUGAUGGUAUAAGAUUUUCAGGAGCUUGUUGGAGGAGCUCCUGUUCAAGUGCUGCCAUGAAUAUGUUUGCAUAGGGGUAAUUGUGUUGAUUUCUUUCAACAUGUCUAUACAGGCUUGGAUGCCUUGAUCAUUAGAAAAGAGGCAUAUAUGGUCUUGUAUGGUGUGUGUUUGGGUGUCGGGACAAAGGCCUUCUAUUAUUGAAUCAGUUUCCUGAUCGGAUAUGAUCAAUUUGUGGCCAAAAAUAAGGGAGGUGUCCAAGUCUGUUAUGUCUCCGUCGUCAGUCUGUAAAAAUUCGUUUAUUUGUUCCUCGGACAUGUCCGGUGAGGGUGGGGGGUUGGGUUGGAUUGGGCAUGGGUUAGUGUCAAGGGUGGGGAUUGCGUUGUCAGGGUUAUCAAUCAACAUAUUCUGGGGGUCGGUUAGGUUUUUGGUAGGGUUUUCGGUCGGGUUGCUUCGAUUUUUGGAGUUGAAUGGGACUUCUUAAAAAUUAAGGUUAUCCUUUGUGAGUAAUAGUUCCAUUGAGUAGUGAUCGUUGUGUUUGUUAGUAAGUGUG